rnacentral:sRNA from 1 species
UUGCUUUGUUUUGGAGCCUUGUAAUAAA